rnacentral:rRNA from 1 species
UACGAAGGGGGCUAGCGUUGUUCGGAUUUACUGGGCGUAAAGCGCACGUAGGCGGAUUGUUAAGUUGGGGGUGAAAUCCUGGAGCUCAACUCCAGAACUGCCUUCAAUACUGGCAAUCUCGAGUCCGGAAGAGGUAAGUGGAACUCCUAGUGUAGAGGUGGAAUUCGUAGAUAUUAGGAAGAACACCAGUGGCGAAGGCGGCUUACUGGUCCGGUACUGACGCUGAGGUGCGAAAGCGUGGGGAGCAAACAGG